GGCGAGAUAGCUCAGCUGGUUAGAGCGCAGGAUUCAUAAUCCUGAGGUCGUGGGAUCGUGCCCCACUCUCGCUACCU
rnacentral:tRNA from 1 species